rnacentral:tRNA from 1 species
AUCGUUGUGGUCAGUGUAGUGCCGUGGUGGUGGAAUUGGUAGACACGCUACCUUGAGGUGGUAGUGCCCGAUUGGGCUUACGGGUUC